rnacentral:tRNA from 1 species
UGGUGUGGCUCAAUGGCAGAGCAGCUGAUUUGUAAUCAGCAGGUUGUUGGUUCAACUCCGAUCACC